rnacentral:rRNA from 1 species
AUUGAACGCUGGCGGCAUGCCUUACACAUGCAAGUCGAACGGCAGCACGGUCUUCGGACUGGUGGCGAGCGGCGGACGGCUGAGUAACGCGUAGGAACAUGCCCUAAAGUGAGGAAUAACUGCCCGAAAGGGUGGCUAAUGCCGCAUGUGCUCUUCGGAGUAAAGCUUUAUGCGCUUUAGGAGUGACCUGCGUCCGAUUAGCUAGUUGGUGAGGUAAAUGCUCACCAAGGCGACGAUCGGUAGCUGGUCUGAGAGGAUGAUCAGCCAGACUGGAACUGAGAACGGUCCAGACUCCUACGGGAGGCAGCAGUAGGGAAUUUUCCACAAUGGGCGAGAGCCUGAUGGAGCAACGCCGCGUGCAGGAUGAAUGCCUUCGGGUUGUAAACUGCUUUUAUGUGCGAAGAAUUUGACUGUAACACAUGAAUAAGGAUCGGCUAACUACGUGCCAGCCGCCGCAGUAA